CAAAAGCUUGGUCCUGGCUUUACUAUCAAUUUUGGCUUAAACUUACACAUGCAAGUCUCCGCACCCCCGUGAGAACGCCCACAAUUCUUCUGCCCGAGAAUAAGGAGCUGGUAUCAGGCACACACAUUGAUAGCCCACGACACCUUGCUUAGCCACACCCCCCCCUCCCCAAGGGGAUUCAGCAGUGAUAAACAUUAAGCCCUGAGUGAAAACUUGACUUAGUUAAAGCCAAGAGGGCCGGUAAAACUCGUGCCAGCUACCGCGGUUAUACGAGAGGCCCGAGUUGAUAGGCACCGGCGUAAAGGGUGGUUAAGGAAAUUUAAUACUAAAGCCGAAUAUCCUCAAGGCUGUUCAAUUUUUAACGUUUCCGAGGAUAAGAAGCCCCACUACGAAAGUGGCUUUAUUAAACCUGACCCCACGAAAGCUGCGAAACAAACUGGGAUUAGANACCCCACUAUGCCCAGCCUUAAACUUCGAUAGUACACUACACCCACUAUCCGCCAGGGGACUACGAGCAUUAGCUUGAAACCCAAAGGACUUGGCGGCGCUUCAGAUCCCCCUAGAGGAGCCUGUUCUAGAACCGAUAAUCCCCGUUAAACCUCACCCUCCCUUGUUUAAUCCCGCCUAUAUACCGCCGUCGUUAGUUCACCCUGUGAAGGCAUUAUAGUAAGCUAAAUUAGUAUAACCCAGAACGCCAGGUCGAGGUGUAGUAUAUGAGAGGGGAAGAAAUGGGCUACAUUUCCUAUUUUAGGAAACACGGACAGUGUAAUGAAACGUACACUAUGAAGGAGGAUUUAGUAGUAAGCAGAAAAUAGAGUGUUCUGCUGAAUCCGGCCCUGUAAGCGAGCACACACCGCCCGUCACUCUCCCCAAACACGAACACCAAAUUUUUUUAAUUUACUAGUAAUUAGGGGAGACAAGUCGUAACAUGGUAAGUGUACCGGAAGGUGUACUUGGCAAAAUU
rnacentral:ncRNA from 1 species